rnacentral:rRNA from 1 species
AGCGAACGCUGGCGGCAGGCUUAACACAUGCAAGUCGAACGCCCCGCAAGGGGAGUGGCAGACGGGUGAGUAACACGUGGGAACGUACCCUUUGGUUCGGAAUAACUUGGGGAAACUCAAGCUAAUACCGGAUAAGCCCUUAUGGGGAAAGGUUUACUGCCGAAGGAUCGGCCCGCGUCUGAUUAGCUAGUUGGUGAGGUAAUGGCUCACCAAGGCGACGAUCAGUAGCUGGUCUGAGAGGAUGAUCAGCCACACGGGGACUGAGACACGGCCCAGACUCCUACGGGAGGCAGCAGUGGGGAAUAUUGGACAAUGGGGGCAACCCUGAUCCAGCCAUGCCGCGUGAGUGAUGAAGGCCUUAGGGUUGUAAAGCUCUUUUACCCGGGACGAUAAUGACUGUACCGGGAGAAUGAGCCCCGGCUAACUUCGUGCCAGCCGCCGCAGUAA